UACGAAGGGGGCUAGCGUUGUUCGGAAUUACUGGGCGUAAAGCGCGUGUAGGCGGCUAAGUAAGUCGGGCGUGAAAUCCCACGGCUCAACCGUGGAAGUGCACUCGAAAACUGCAUAGCUAGAGUCCUGGAGAGGAAGGUGGAAUGCUUGGUGUAGAGGUGAAAUUCGUAGAUAUCAAGCGGAACACCGGUGGCGAAGGCGGC
rnacentral:rRNA from 1 species